rnacentral:lncRNA from 1 species
GAAAGGACAAGCUACGGAUAGCCAUAGUCUAUCAGUGAAAUUAUCAGCACAAUAUUCCCCCAGAAAAAAGAUCACAGCACAACAAAGAUUGUGUAUUUCCAAUCAAUAACAGUACAUCGCUCAAAUACCCCAAAAAUAAAAUUAAAAUCAAUUAAUCUACCAGUAAAGGAACUUACGAUGAUAUCUAUUCCACAGCUACCCAGCGGCAAAUUCUUCUUCAGUGAGGAAUGAAAUAGGCGAAUUAGGGCUCAACUGUUGAGAAAUUGCAAAACCAGUAAAAGAAGAGCAUGCGAAAUAAAUAAGAAAUUUAUGAGAAUCAAGCAAAAACCUUAAAUUAGGGAUCUGUGGAACUUGACGUGUUAGCCGAGCUUAAUCGAGAAAAAAACCUAAACGU